rnacentral:rRNA from 3 species
AAAUUGAAGAGUUUGAUCAUGGCUCAGAUUGAACGCUGGCGGCAGGCCUAACACAUGCAAGUCGAACGGUAACAGGAAGCAGCUUGCUGCUUCGCUGACGAGUGGCGGACGGGUGAGUAAUGUCUGGGAAACUGCCUGAUGGAGGGGGAUAACUACUGGAAACGGUGGCUAAUACCGCAUAACGUCGCAAGACCAAAGAGGGGGACCUUCGGGCCUCUUGCCAUCAGAUGUGCCCAGAUGGGAUUAGCUAGUUGGUGAGGUAACGGCUCACCAAGGCGACGAUCCCUAGCUGGUCUGAGAGGAUGACCAGCCACACUGGAACUGAGACACGGUCCAGACUCCUACGGGAGGCAGCAGUGGG